rnacentral:lncRNA from 1 species
CUAACCUUCAGCCUGCUGUGCAUUCCUGUUAGAAGUCAUAGCUACUGUCAUUUGUGCUGGUGGAACUAGGAAAGCAGUGUUCCUCUCAAGAUAUUAUGGGGUCCCAGGGAGAUGCAGUGUCCAGGGAAGCAGAGGCAGCAGCACGGCUGCAGGAAGAAGUCAGGGUGGAACCCACACAGAGCGCAUUCCCAGGCUCUGUGGUCACGACUCAGGACAAAGAGGAACCAGCUGAACAGAGCCUUUCAUGUGACAACAAAAAACGACCUGGCUCAAACAUCACGACAGGCAUCUGUGGAGCCUGGGAAAUGACCUUUCUCAUGGGGAGAACACAGAACACACAAAGCUUUCUCUUAAAAGUCUACAAAAUUAUAAUCUGAUAACAACAGAACGUUUUGGUAUUUUGAGUAAUAGGCGUCACAUUGGAAUUGAUAUUUGCCAAAUUUGGCAUGAUA